AUGGCUCAGAUUGAACGCUGGCGGCGUGCUUAACACAUGCAAGUCGAACGCGAAAGGGACUUCGGUCCUGAGUAAAGUGGCGCACGGGUGAGUAACGCGUGGAUAAUCUGCCCUUAUGAUCGGGAUAACAGUUGGAAACGGCUGCUAAUACCGGAUACGCUCAAAAUGAACUUUUUGAGGAAAGAUGGCCUCUGCUUGCAUGCUAUCACGUAAGGAUGAGUCCGCGUCCCAUUAGCUUGUUGGCGGGGUAACGGCCACCAAGGCAACGAUGGGUAGCCGAUUUGAGAGGAUGAUCGGCCACACUGGAACUGAAACACGGUCCAGACUCCUACGGGAGGCAGCAGUGGGGAAUAUUGCGCAAUGGGCGAAAGCCUGACGCAGCGACGCCGCGUGAGGGAUGAAGGUUUUCGGAUCGUAAACCUCUGUCAGAAGGGAAGAAACUACGUUGUGCUAAUCAGCAGCGUACUGACGGUACCUUCAAAGGAAGCACCGGCUAACUCCGUGCCAGCCGCCGC
rnacentral:rRNA from 1 species